AUGGCCGGUAAACCUGUGAACAAAGACGCCUUUCCUCGUCCACAGGUUAACUGAAGAAGGGAAGCACGGUGAAGAUUAAUGACGCCUUGCAUUAAUUCACUACCUUCCGCACAGCAAUCGCGGAGGAACUGCAGGGGGGUUGUGGACACAACUCAGCACAGAAUCCAGCCUCCCUUCCAAGUGACCAAGUGCAUCCUGAUGAAUCUCCUCGGCACCCUCUGUACAUCCACAUCCUCCCCAUGAUGAGGUGACCAGAACUGAACAUGAUAUUCGAAGUGCGGUCUAACCAGGGUUUUACAGGGUUGAAACAUAAUCUUGAACUUGAACCCCCAAAUAAUGAAGGCCAACCCACCGUACACCUUAACCACACUAUCAACUUGUGAGGCAUCUAUAGACAUGGAUCCUCCCGUUCCUCCAUACAGUUAAGGAUCCUGCCGUUAAUCCUAUACCCUGCCUUCAAGUUUGACCUAUCACUUCCCACUUUUCCAGGUUGAACUCUAUCUGUCACUCCUCAGCCCUGACAAUGUCUGGUUGUAACCUUCAACACUAUUCAGUCUAGAUAUCCACAACUCCACCAACAUUCACGUCACCUGCAAGCUCAUUAACUCACCUUUCCAGUUCCUCAUCCAAGUCAGGAUACAUGCUCUCUAAUCCAGGCAGCAUCCUCUGCACCCUCCCACAUCCCUUCCAUAAUGAGGCACACUUAACCCCUUCAGCCCUGGUAGCACUUCUGGGAGGCGUGGGGGGUCUGUCAAACCCCAUUCUGGGGGAAAAGAGACAUUGCCAAGGAGCAUUGCCAAAAUAAUCCCCCUACAUGGGAUCUAACAGCACCACUGUGUCACAACAUGCACCUCCAUGUCCCCAGAUCCCCUCCUUGCAUCAGCCCUCCCCUCUUGGGGUUUCACCACACAAGUUUCCCUAUAAUGAGGCAACCAGAAUUGAGUACAUACAAUAUUCACAGUUGGAAUAUGUCUUCAGUUCUGGUCACCUCAUUAAAGGACGGAUGAGGAAACUUUAGAGAGGGUGCAGAGGUGAUUUACCAGGACGGUGCCUGGAUUAGAGACCAUGUCAUACGAGGAUAGGUUGAGUGAGCUAGGAGUGAAGGAAUAUGAGAGGUGACUUGAUAGAGGUGUACACAAUGAUAAGAGGCACCAAUUGAAUGGACAACUAGAGACUUUUACCCAGGGAGGAAAUGGUUAAUAAGAGGGGUCAUAAUUUUAAGGUGUUUGGAGGAAGUACAGGGGGGAUAUCAGAGGUAGGUGUUUCAUGCAGAGUGGGGGGUGUGUGGAACGUUCUGCCAGGGGUGGUGGCAGAGGCGGAUACAUCAGGGAUAUUUAAGAAACUCAUAAAUAGGCAUGUGGAUGAUAGAAAAAUGGAGGGUUAUGUAGGAGGGGAAGGGUUAGAUUGAUCUCAGAGUAGAUGAGAAGGUCGGCACGAUAUCGUGGGCCAGACGGCUUGUGAUAUGCUGAACUGUUCUGUGUUCUACCCCAUGGGAAUGUCUUUCCUACCAGACCUUACCAUCACGAUCUCCAGAUGCAGUCAGCAGCGACUCAUCGUGGGGCGAGGAAAUGCAGGCGGUGAGAGAGGACUUGUGUGGAUGAGGGAUCACCACGAGGAGCUGCCCCUCGGUGUUGUAGCAGAACAGAGCCUGGACGGAACAGCAGAGGACCGUCUGGCUCCCAAUGUCCAGCUCCACCUUCUUCACCCAGAUGCCGCCCAUGUGGGGGUAGUCAGCCCUGCAGAGACGGAAAGGACACACAGGCAGAAGUCUCUGAGAUUCAUCAGCGCCACCUUAGAGAGUCCCUCGUUCUUCUCGGACACAGCGGCCACUCCAGGUCCACUGUACCAGAGGACAGUGUGCAGUCCAAUAAAAAGUUCCCUCAGCCUUUCCCUUGUUGCAAGGAGGAUCACUGUAUGAGCACGUUCCCUCACGGAUCCGGGAGGCCUAGAGGUCCACAUCGAAUCUUAGAGCAGCCCACUUCUCCGUGUCAGCCAUGAUGUCUGGCUACAGCUGGCCCACAUCCCUCUAAAGCUUUCCUAAUCAGAUACAGAGCAGACAUGACUCUUCUGGUCCUUUGAGCUGAGCCACCCACCCCAAUUUAAUCCCAUCAAUUUACAAAGACCUACCAACUGGUUACGCCUUUGGACUGCGGGAAGAACCCAGAGCACCUGAAGAUCACGGGGAAGCAUACAAAAUCUUCACAGGUGGAUGUCCUUCUACUCGGAGUCCGUGUGCCUGGACUCUCCCACCUCUGGAAACAUCCUUAUGGAUGACACCCCAUCUGGGAAGGCGCCAGGGCUUUUUGGAUCCGUCCGUCCUCAAGAACCCCCAUCUCCCUCUUCACAUCGCUACCACCAGGGAGGGGGUACAGGAGCCUGAAGACACACACUCAACGAUUCAGGAACAGCUUCUUCCCCUCUGCCAUCAGGGGGGAGGUACAGGAGCCUGAAGACACGCACACACUCAAUGAUUCAGGAACAGCUUCUUCCCCGCUACCACCAGGGAGGAGGUACAGGAGCCUGAAGACACACACUCAACAAUUCAGGAACAGCUUCCUCCCCUCUGCCACCAGAUUUCUGAAUGGACAGAGAACCCAUGAACACUACCUCACUACUUUUGCUCUCUUUUGACACUACUUAUUUAAUAUAUAUAUAUAU